AGAAUCAACGCUGGCGGCGUGCCUAACACAUGCAAGUCGAACGAGAAAGUGGAGCAAUCCAUGAGUAAAGUGGCGCACGGGUGAGUAACACGUGACUAACCUACCUUUUAGUGGGGGAUAACCUAGGGAAACCUGGGCUAAUACCGCAUAACACUUACGAGUCAAAGCAGCAAUGCGCUGAAAGAGGGGGUCGCGGUCGAUUAGUUAGUUGGCAGGGUAAUGGCCUACCAAGACCGUGAUCGAUA
rnacentral:rRNA from 1 species